rnacentral:lncRNA from 1 species
GUGUCUUCCGAAAGCAACAGACUUAAGGGAUCUCGUGGAUAAGAAGAAGAAAACUAAGUUUUUAUCUUGCCAGUUUGGGAGUCGUUAGUAUCCUGGCACCCUUUAGUUAGACGGCAGAUUGACCACAGUCUGGGGAAUUGGCACCCACCGUGCCCCUCAUCCCCAGGUUAAUAUUGAGAGCGUGGAGUCUUUCUUUCCAAAGACACACUUAUGCCUGUGACUUUUCCGGUCCGGUUUCCGGUUUCCUUUAAUUUCCGGGAAAGGCAUUGCUCCCACAAGGCACACAUUGUUUACGCUAUUGUGUGUGUGUGUGUGUGUGUGUGUGAGAGAGAGAGAGAGAGAGAGAGAGAGAGAGAGAGAGAGAGACAGAGAGAGACAGAGAGACAGAGAGAGAUUUUGGGGGUCAAGAAGGUUGGUGAAGUUGUCCCCUGUGGGUCUGGCCACUUUUCAUGUAGAACCAGACACAGGGGUCAGCUCGUGUCUAAGACAAGCAAGGACCGGGAGCAUAACAGAAGGAAGGAAUUUAAUAACGGACAGCGGUGGGACCCAGGAACCUCCGCCUGAGCCCUCUGGCAAGCCUGCACCAGGGAUGGAGCACUGCGCACAGGAGGGCAAAUUUGACCAGAAUCUGAGUCUUCAUUACCCAGGGUGGAGGGUACAAAGUUCAAGCACUUGAUGGAGCCGGAUUCCUGAAGUCAUUUCGAAGGAUAACUUUUCCCUAACUUAAAUGGGGUUCUCUUGU